rnacentral:rRNA from 1 species
UACGUAGGGGGCUAGCGUUGCUCGGAAUUACUGGGCGUAAAGCGCACGUAGGCGGUUUGUUAAGUCGGGGGUGAAAUCCUGGAGCUCAACUCCAGAACUGCCUUCGAUACUGGCGAUCUCGAGUUCGGGAGAGGUGAGUGGAACUGCGAGUGUAGAGGUGAAAUUCGUAGAUAUUCGCAAGAACACCAGUGGCGAAGGCGACUUCUUGGCCUGGUCUUGACGCUGAGGCGCGAAAGCUGGGGGAGCAAACGGG